CAAUGAAAAUAUCAUAACGAUUGUCAUAAAUUUUGUUCACUCCUAAACGAGUCGAAUCCUUCAAACGUGCAACAGUUAUGGAAAGAUGUCACGAGUUUGAGCCGAGUUUUAACACAAGAUGGAACUUCGACUUAUUCAUCCGUUGUCCUGGAAUAGCUGACAACAGUCUGGAUCGUCUUAACUUAAUCGCGAUCAGUACAUAGAGAACGGUGAUGAUGGUCAUCGGCAGGACGAAG